rnacentral:misc_RNA from 1 species
CGGGGGGGUGUUGGGGGGUUGGUGGGUGGGGGUGGGAGAUGUGGGCUUUUGUUUUUUUGCACUAAUUUGAAAUUUGCAAGGGAAUGCUAUAUGAACAAGCAUGGAAGAUCUUUAUUAAUUUUCCUUUUUCUGUUAUUUGUUAGAGGACCUAACACUCUGAACAUCAUUUCUUUCUAGUCGCAUCUUCUGUAUUUUUGGAAAGAGGAAAAGAUAUAAAAGAUUCCUUUUUUCUUCUUUGGUCCUUAUCAGUGAAUAAUGGUUUUUGUUCGUUAUCAUGAUGAUUUUUAACUUGGGUGCCAGAGAGAAUGCUUUACAUUGCCAAGAGCAUACUGGUUUUUCUAGUGUUAAAUUCUUAUCCUGUGAUUUCCAUCCCAUAUCAAUAAUUAUGGAAAUAAGUUAGAAAGGCAGCUUGUGUCAGUUUAUGAGGUGAUGGAUUCUAGGCCAAGUGGCGUGAUUGACUUAUAAUGUGGAAAAAGUUUCUGCUGAAAUUUAGUGUAGCUGAUCUAGCCAAAGACCAAUUUCAGUAAUAUACCUGUCCAAAUUUUUGGGCUGUCCAUGGAUCUUCCUUUCCAAGAGUUAAACCACUAGUUUCCUAACAUACACUUGAAACUUCACGCCUACGGCUGUCACACUCUCUUGGAGGCCUUCUGAGGAGAUAUUUUUCUAAUUUCUUAAAGAAGUAAAUCAAUAUCAACUUCCUACAAUCAUUCUCUCUUCAUCUUGACGUUCCUUAGAUUGGUCCACAAGGUGAUUUAUGAAGGGUGUUCCUGUGUGUACAUUUGAGGACGAGUCUUGGUGCAAGUGCAACAAUAAGG